UACGAAGGGGGCUAGCGUUGCUCGGAAUCACUGGGCGUAAAGCGCACGUAGGCGGAUUGUUAAGUCAGGGGUGAAAUCCUGGAGCUCAACUCCAGAACUGCCUUUGAUACUGCGGAUCUCGAGUCCGAUAGAGGUGGGUGGAAUUCCUAGUGUAGAGGUGAAAUUCGUAGAUAUUAGGAAGAACACCAGUGGCGAAGGCGGCUCACUGGUCCGGUACUGACGCUGAGGUGCGAAAGCGUGGGGAGCAAACAGG
rnacentral:rRNA from 1 species